rnacentral:sRNA from 1 species
CUUGAAACACUGCUUUAAGAACUCAAUAAAGGUUCUUGCAUCUCAAUGGGUGUGGAUUAUUUGUUAUAGGGAGAUCCGACUUACCUAGUUGUAGAGAACGACAAGACUCUAGCGACAUACGGUAUCAACGCAGUGUGCACUCAUCUUGGAUGUGUUGUGCCAUGGAACAAAGCUGAGAACAAGUUUCUAUGUCCUUGCCAUGGAUCCCAAUACAACGCCCAAGGAAGAGUCGUUAGAGGUCCAGCC